rnacentral:rRNA from 1 species
AGUCGAGCGGAAACGAAGAGGAGCUUGCUCCUUUGGCGUCGAGCGGCGGACGGGUGAGUAAUGCUUGGGAAUGUGCCUUAUGGUGGGGGACAACAGUCGGAAACGACUGCUAAUACCGCAUAAUGUCUUCGGACCAAAGUGGGGGACCUUCGGGCCUCACGCCAUAAGAUCAGCCCAAGUGGGAUUAGCUAGUUGGUAAGGUAAUGGCUUACCAAGGCGACGAUCCCUAGCUGGUUUGAGAGGAUGAUCAGCCACACUGGGACUGAGACACGGCCCAGACUCCUACGGGAGGCAGCAGUGGGGAAUAUUGCACAAUGGGCGCAAGCCUGAUGCAGCCAUGCCGCGUGUGUGAAGAAGGCCUUCGGGUUGUAAAGCACUUUCAGUAAGGAGGAAAGGUUAAGUGUUAAUAAUACUUAGCUGUGACGUUACUUACAGAAGAAGCACCGGCUAACUCCGUGCCAGCAGCCGCGGUAAUACGGAGGGUGCGAGCGUUAAUCGGAAUUACUGGGCGUAAAGCGUACGCAGGCGGUUUGUUAAGCGAGAUGUGAAAGCCCCGGGCUCAACCUGGGAACUGCAUUUCGAACUGGCAAACUAGAGUGUGAUAGAGGGUGGUAGAAUUUCAGGUGUAGCGGUGAAAUGCGUAGAGAUCUGAAGGAAUACCGAUGGCGAAGGCAGCCACCUGGGUCAACACUGACGCUCAUGUACGAAAGCGUGGGGAGCAAAC